rnacentral:rRNA from 1 species
GUGGGGGACAAACCGUGGGAAACUACGGCUAAUACCGCAUGAUGCCUGAGGGCCAAAGACGAAAGUCGUUUGAGGAGGAGCCUGCGCCUGAUUAGGUAGUUGGUGGGGUAACGGCCUACCAAGGCGACGAUGCGUAGCCGACCUGAGAGGGUGGACGGCCACACUGGGACUGAGACACGGCCCAGACUCCUACGGGAGGCAGCAGUGGGGAAUAUUGGACAAUGGGCGCAAGCCUGAUCCAGCAAUGCCGCGUGGGUGAAGAAGGUCUUCGGAUUGUAAAGCCCUUUCGACGGGGACGAUGAUGACGGUACCCGUAGAAGAAGCCCCGGCUAACUUCGUG